rnacentral:lncRNA from 1 species
GGGGCCAAGCUUUUUACAGCCGUUGUAGCGUCUCCGUGUCCUGACCGUCUGCGGAUUCCUAAAUCGUCUCAAAUUCGCAUCUCGGUUUAUUUCAAACUCCUCCAUCACCGCAUGAAACGUUGCUGUGCACUGCUCUAUAGACCGGCUCUAACUCGCACAAAACGUGCCUCGGCAAAGCCCACUUCACGCCCAAGCCAAACCACUAUUGCUCAUUUCAUCCGCAC